AACAAUGUUUUUGCUUGGAAUGAUACACUGUAGAUCAUGCCGGAAGUCCAUCUAUUUUUGUAGUUACUCCUGUUCUUCAAAGAUGCGAUACCGACAAAACCGGUUCUAAACCAGUUUAAAAAGGGCUAUUGACGUGACAUAGCUAGGUACAGCGUCAAGCCGGAAGAUUAGAACAUAGUUGGUAGAGGGAGAUGUCAUCCUCUAUUAACUAAUAGUUACGAAAUCUUUCUCUUUGGCUCAAAAUCCAUCAAAGCUUUGUUCCUAGAAAGAUGUUUACUCACUACCGUUUGAGAAGAGAAGGUCUGUUGUUCAAUGAUGAAGAAACAGAAAAAGCUUGUGAAAAACUAAAAAAAGAUCUACAGUCCAUUGGACAGAUCUAUGCUAGUGAAGAUGAUUUUAUCGAAGAAAAUAAAAGGCGCAGCAAGGAAGUUUUUGGAAUGAUGAUGCGUGCUCACUUUCGAAAGAUCGGUGACAAGUUCCAACCUUGUCAGGAUGAAAUUGAUUUUUUGCGUUCAACGCCUAAAGGAGUAGCAUUAUGUCAUGAUCUUCGCCGUGCUCCAUUGAAGUUUUUUUACAAGAUUCUUUACCCAGAGAUAGAUACUAAGGAAGGUCUUGGUGAAAGAGAUUCGA
rnacentral:misc_RNA from 1 species